AGAAUGAUUCUCCUGAAAAAAAAAAAAUCAGUUUUUUUUGGAGAGGAACUGUCUGCACUAAAUGGGAAGGACAUUAUUGAGACUGGUAGAACAAUGAAAGCUCUGCUUUCAAAAAUAAAACACAAGAAACCAAGGAUGGUAAAAAUGGUUUUCUAACACCACCUCAGUUGCCUCAAUACUAGAAUGGCAGCACUCUGAAGAUUUCUUAAUAUCCUCAACUGUGGAAGUUUCCAGAAUCUGGGAGUCUGUCAGCACUGGGAAGAUGCCUUCAAGCAGCAUUCUAGAUUUGCUUUUAGUAGAUCUCUAAAGAAAUUUUGUGGACUAUCCCUGUGUCUGUCAAGUAACCACAACGCUUUAUAAAAACAGCUGCUUUAAGCAUCAGUUAUUCAGACAGUCCUUCUAGUGACUGCCAGGGAGGUUCUCCGUUUCUUCUGAAGUGCACAGGCAAAGCAAGAAUAGAUGUAAUUUUGCAGAAGAAAUUGUCCUUUUCUCCCUCCCUCCCUCCCCACUAAAAUCAUUCCCAGCCACUUGGACAUGCUUCUCCCUUUGUGCUAUUCUAGUGUGCUGAGGCAUUCUAGUGUGCUGCCUGGAAGGACAAAUACCUGAGACACAGGAUUGCAGGGAACUGAAUACAAAGUCAAGCCACUUGGACAUAAAGACUGAACCUAGAUCAGGGCCUUUGCUUCUCCCUCCACUACAAGGCUGAACACUACUUCUUUCUGUGCAAUAAUCUCACUGUUUUAACUUAAGUGCAUGAUUUUAGACGCUUAUGGGGAGGCGUGGCAGAAUGGAAGUCUAUAGCUUAGAGGAAGACCAAAGGUUUUAAAAACCAACAUUCUCUGCUCUGCCUUACAGCCUGCUCAUCAAAAGGACACGUCAGAGUCCAGGUAACAGACCAGAUGUAAUGUAAGCAAUUGUGGUUUUCUCGGUUUUUUUUUUUUUCUGUGUUUUCCAAAACACAGUCCUGCAAUUUCACUUCAGGCAGCACAUCUGACAACUGGCACCUGUUUCAUGAAGGCCAAGAGAAAUGGGGAGAAACUACAUAAAAAGCUAAUGACCAGCUAUGCUAUCCUGAGGCCUCAUGACCACCUUCUUUUUUCCCCUGGUUGGCCUGAGUGCAGGUUUAGCAAUUUGAUAAACCAAUUUAACUAUUUAGAUAGCAGAAACAGAUCAAAACUUAACUGUGCUUUGCUUUGCUUUGCCCCUAGAGGACAUUUGUUUUGACUCCACAUUAUUAAACUUGCCUUGUUUCCAAACUCAAAAGUCCUCCUGAAUAACAUUUAAUCUACUUUCACUCAAGUAAAAUCUCACUUCUUUUCUCUUCUCCCAGGUCUAACUCAUAACUAGGUUUUAAACAAUUAUUUUCUUAAUAGAAAUCAUUCUCUUAACACCUUAAUUAUAUUACUGACUCAUGGGAAUGGUUUAGAUUCUAACCUCUGUCAUCAAUUUACAGCUCAGAUUCUUAAGGAAGCACCCUGAAGGAGACGAUGCCUCUUACUCUCAGCUCAAGUAUGUGUUGAAUACCAACUGUGCACUUAAAGCUACUUACACCACUGAAUUAUAAAAAUAACUGUUUUUACAGAUACAGGCUUUGAAAUUCCAGAUAAAUUUGUGGUUGGAUAUGCUCUUGACACUAAUGAAUACUUCAGAGAUUUAAAUUGAGUUGGUAAUGCAAUAUAGGUGAAGAGGAAAUGUUCGUGCUUCACCUUUUCAUAAUUGUACUCCUCAAGUCUCAUGGCUCAGCCAUGCUGCAGGACGUCCUGAACCCCCAGGAUGCUGAGCAGCAUACC